CAAAUACCUUUCCUUCUAAAAUACUUGCAGAUGUUCUUUUUAGAAGAUGAGUGGACUCAUCUGAUGAACAUGAAGAUAAUGUGUCAUGUAAUAGUAAUUGCUCCUCUUCUAUUCUUCUUCUUCUUCUUCAUGGGUCUCUUUCUUUUCUUUUGUUUUUUUUCAAAAUCCAUACACUUAUCAUCUUUUUUCUCACUAUCUUCCUCCUUAAGUUCUCUUAUUUUCUCCAUUAACAUGUAAAUUUUUUAUUUUAUUUCUUCUUCUUCUUCUUCUUCUUCUUCUUCUUCUUCUUCUUCUUCUUCUUCUUCUUCUUCUUCUUCUCAUUGUUUUAGUUUUUUUAAUUUUUAGUCACACUUUUAGGGGGAAAUAAAAGAGUGGUUUUUUUAUUUUGAUUUUCUAGAUAUGUUCUUGCAAAUAUAGGUUCUGGUACUUCAAAGAACACUAAAUCAAAAAAUACCCUCAAUCUGUGUUGGAGAACUCCGACUCUAAUUUUGAGUUUGAGCCAAAGUUCCAAAGUCUCACAAAUCUGAUAAGGAAAAGGGUAAAUACCAAGUGAAGAUUGUUCAAUCAACUGAUCUGUUUGAAGACAUAAUUAGGAAAAGGGUUGUUGAGGUGUGUCAUUUCAUUAUUUUAGUUUUAAUGUUUUUUUAUGCUUGUUUUUUAUGUUCUUUAUUUUUUUUUUUUUUGUUGUUUUAGUAGUGUUUUCUUAUGUUUUUUUAUAGGAUUGGGAAUCCAAGUAUACCCGAUCGGAAUACUACCAUUCCAGAGUUUUUUUAUGCUUGUUUUUUAUGUUCUUUAUUUAAUUUUUUUUUUUUUGUGUUGUUUUAGUAGUGUUUUCUUUUUUUUUUUUAUAGGAUUGUCACAUUCUCUUGAAAUAAUUUUUUCCCAUUGUCCAUUGCCCUUUAUGAGAACUGGUAUAGAUUUCAUGUCA